rnacentral:tRNA from 1 species
GGCCUUGUAGCUCAAUGGAUAGAGCGCCGGUCUACGGAACCGGAAAUCUGGGUUCGAUUCCCAGCAGGGCUA